rnacentral:rRNA from 1 species
GUGGGGAAUCUUGCGCAAUGGGCGAAAGCCUGACGCAGCCAUGCCGCGUGAAUGAUGAAGGUCUUAGGAUUGUAAAAUUCUUUCACCGGGGACGAUAAUGACGGUACCCGGAGAAGAAGCCCCGGCUAACUUCGUGCCAGCAGCCGCGGUAAUACGAAGGGGGCUAGCGUUGCUCGGACUUACUGGGCGUAAAGGGCGCGUAGGCGGACAGUUUAGUCAGAGGUGAAAGCCCAGGGCUCAACCUUGGAAUUGCCUUUGAUACUGGCUGUCUUGAGUACGGGAGAGGUGAGUGGAACUCCGAGUGUAGAGGUGAAAUUCGUAGAUAUUCGGAAGAACACCAGUGGCGAAGGCGACUCACUGGCCCGUUACUGACGCUGAGGCGCGAAAGCGUGGGGAGCAAACAGGAUUAGAUACCCGGGUAGUCC